rnacentral:rRNA from 1 species
ACGCACGCUGGCGGCGUGCUUAACACAUGCAAGUCGUACGGUAAGGCCCUUUCGGGGGUACACGAGUGGCGAACGGGUGAGUAACACGUGAGUAACCUGCCCACAACUUUGGGAUAACGCUAGGAAACUGGUGCUAAUACUGGAUAUGUGCUCCUGCUGCAUGGUGGGGGUUGGAAAGCUCCGGCGGUUGUGGAUGGACUCGCAGCCUAUCAGCUUGUUGGUGGGGUAGUGGCCUACCAAGGCGGCGACGGGUAGCCGGCCUGAGAGGGUGACCGGCCACAUUGGGACUGAGAUACGGCCCAGACUCCUACGGGAGGCAGCAGUGGGGAAUAUUGCACAAUGGGCGCAAGCCUGAUGCAGCAACGCCGCGUGCGGGAUGACGGCCUUCGGGUUGUAAACCGCUUUCAGCAGGGACGAAGCUUUUUGUGACGGUACCUGCAGAAGAAGCACCGGCUAACUACGUG